CAAAGGGGACUGUCACCCUUCUACCUACCCGCCUGCCUACCUACCUGCCUGCCUACAUCACUGACAGCCAGCAACAGGCUUUUCGAACAGAAGCAGAGGCUCAGAGCAAAGAACAUCUCAACCCUUGAAGGGAAUGAAUGGAUCAGCAAAUCGGAACAGAACCAACUAUGGUACUGACAGACUGACAGACAGAGGCGGCUGGGGAAGAGCCUUGCACAAGCCGGAUAGUGUGAUAGGAACCCCAGAGUCCCAUACAUCUGUGAAAGGCAGCGUUUGACAGAUGCUGAAGAGGAGCAAGUUCAUACAGCCCAGAUGUUGGGACAGCACAGCACAGGUGGCCCUGCACUCAACAAACUCAAUGCCAUUGUUCCGGUGACACCAACAGGGUUAAGACAUGCACCUGCAGGAAGUGAGGCUGGACCUUAUGUUAGUACAAAACACCCUGAUUCAGAUGCUCAGUUUCCAACCACGAAGGGAAAUUCUGAUGACACCGUAGGGACGGCUCCCUAAGGUGGGUCGCAGUGCAUGGGGCUGCAGAGGCUGAGGCUGGGGAGCCAAGAUCCGGAUGGGGAAGAGGUUCCGCAGGACAUCUGGGAUGGCUGCCAGCAGAAGGGCCGAGGGUGCACUUCUGUGGGUGAGUCCUGCAGAUAUCAGGCGCCAGAGCAGGGUGCUGGCAUCAGCCCUACUGAAAUGAGGACAAAGAGAGAAGGGCGGGGCCAGAAUGGCCUGAGACACUCAGGCCAGCCUCGGGCUCUUAGAUAGGGUGCUGAGCCUCAGAGAGAACGCCCUGCUGAGGUCUUCUGAGGACUGCAUGCAAGGUUCUCCUGCUUGUUCCCGUUGACCCAUCCUGGGGAUGAUAAGGAACUCGCUCUGUGCCCACUGCACAGGGAUGCCCAGAAGCCCCAAGGUGCACAGCCCUGAGGCCAUUCCAGAAGCAAAUAUUCAGAAGGCGAGGGGGGUCUGUGGCAUUGGAGAUAUAAGCGUCAGAAGUCCCAAUGUCCAAGUGGCUCCCCUGGGCAAUUCAGAUGGGCAUGAAGUGACCGGUACUGUCAGGCCACACUCCUGGAAGGGCAGGCCCCGUGACAGCCGGCCUGGCUCCCAUAGGCUGAGCCAAGCCUCACACCCAUUCCAGGACCUAGGCACCCACCCCACCCAUGUCCCAGUCUAGAAUGUCUCCGGUCACCUUGAACUUAGGCCAGGAAUGUAGGCAGCCAGCUCUAGACACUGCCAGCUCCUGGGUUCCUCCAACACCGGGGUAAAGGCUGGUAAGGCCAUCAUGCCACCCUUCCUGGAAUAGCUGCUUCUUCAGGUCACACUGGCCUUGGAGGCUCAGAACUCAGCUUGGCCUGCCUUUCCUUCUCAACCUCUCCUACUUUAUUCCCACGGUGAUGCGGAGUCUGCUGGUCCCUCUCGAGAAUCUGAACCUACUCAAGACUCCCUAACAAAGACUAUGCUCCGUUCUCCAUGUGGAAGGAAGAAAAGUCUCUUAACUAGAGAGACAGGGUGGGUGCUGAGCCCUCUACACCCUAUAGGGUGAAGAGGUGCCCAAGGUACCUGGCCUGAAAAAGGCCAGAGGGACUAGAGGGUGGGAGGUGCCAGGCUCACAAUGAUCUGGGGACCUCACGCCAUGGCCUGGACGGGUGACCCAGAGAGCAAAGAAGAGCCCAGAGGACAGAAAGGAGCAACUGAGGGGGACAGGGACUGGAAACUAUGGCCUUUCACCUCCAACCUGCAGGGAUUUCCGUCAGUCCUGACACCUGAGAGAAGCCCUGCAGCAGUCUCUGUCUCUGUCUCUCUCUCUUUCCCUCUCCCUACCCCAACGUGUGUGUGUGUGUGUGUGUGUGUGUGUGUGUGUGUGUGUGUGUGUGUGUGUGUGUGUGACAAAUCUCAUACAAUCCCAUACUGACCUCAAAAACCCUACAUAUCCAAGACUGGCCUCAACCUUCUGCUCCUUGUGACUCUGCCUUCUAAGUGCUAGCAUUAAGGCAUGUGCCACCAUCUAUCUCACUUUCCCUUCUCAGUCUGGAGUCCCUCUCCUUACUCAGGUAUCCAGGAGCCCAAACUCCUCCCUUAAGCUGAGUCUCUACCCUUCUCUGGAACACCAACAAACAGAACAUCCACACCAUCCAUCCCAGCGGAUGGUGGCGCACGCCUUUAAUCCCAGCACUUGGGAGGCAGAGGCAGGUGGAUCUCUGGGUUCCAGGCCAGCCUGGUCCACAGUGCGCAUCCAGGACAGCCAGGACUACAAAGAGAAACCCUGUCUCAAAAAACAAACAAGCAUCCACCUCGUCCUAUAUUCUCUCCCCAAGAGGCUUCCUACUGUUAUUAAUUCUCCCCAUGAAUCGUCAAGGAAGAGCCAGUUUUAAGUAUGGUGAAUUCUCAGACUCCAAGGUCACUGGGAAGGUGGGUGCUGAAUGGAUUUAAGCAAGCUGUGUCCCUGGUCUCUGGUCCCUGGCUCAAUACAAGUACCCAGGAGGCCAGUGCGCUGUGGCUCCUGCCUCUCUAGUUACAGAAAUACCCCCACUUCAGGGCUAUUUCUAGAGGCAGUACCCAGCCAGGAAUUCUGAGCCAGUGGCCCGCACUGCCCUCAUAUGAGGCAACUGUUUGUGUCCUGUGCAGGGUGGCCUGGUGCCUCACAUCUGCCCUGUUCACUGGAUCAGCCUGAAGUCUGUCCUGCCAGAAAGCACGACUUGUUCCUCUUCCACUUAAGUAUGGGGACAGUCCCAGCUCCACCCUGAAUUGCAAUGAUUUGCGACCAGCAGGGAUCCACCAACCCCAUCCACAGCAUUGACCUGGUUCCCACAGAGGAAAUGAGCCAGGUCCUUAACCCAUACCCAUCCUGUAACUGGGGUGCAUGAUCUCUCUCUCUCUCUCUCUCUCUCUCUCUCUCUCUCUCUCUCUCUCUCUCUCUCUCUCUCUCUCUGGGCUGGGAAUUCAAUAACCAAAAUCAGGGUAGAAACCCCAGGCCGAGAUUUUAGUAUUUUCCCCUAUACCACCCCUUCUCUCUCCACCCCCUCUUAUCCCUUAUUCACGGAGCUCUCAACAUCCACAUUCCAGCCUCUCUGGCCUGUGACCUCUUUAGAUGGUCUCAUCCUGUAUCACUCCCUUUGUGAUCCAACUAUCAGAAUAAUUGUUCCCAAGAAAUUCGAGGUCUCUUGGGGACCUUUGCUAUGAGGAAAGAACAACACUGAGACAACACUGGGUCUAGCCAGAGGAUGGGUUUAUCUCUGGGAGAAAAUCCCAGUCAGUGGACCUCACAGGAGGAGGGAAAACAGUGAGGGCUCAGACUACCCAAGGGCCGUCCUGCUUAGUUACGCAUAUCUCUUGCUUUCUAUUUAAACUCAAACCUCAGGGCUGGAGAGAUGGCUCAGUGAUCACGAGCACUGGCUAUCCUUCCAGAAGACCCAGGUUCAGUUCUCAGCACCCACAUCAUAGCUCACAACUGGCUGCAUCUCCAAUCCCAGAGAAUCCAGAUCCUUCUUCAGACCUCCAUGGGCACCAGACACACACAUAGUGCACACACAUAGUGCACAC